UACGGAGGGUGCAAGCGUUUAUCCGGAUUCACUGGGUUUAAAGGGUGCGUAGGCGGGCAAGUAAGUCCGUGGUGAAAUCUCUGAGCUUAACUCAGAAACUGCCAUGGAUACUAUUUGUCUUGAAUAUUGUGGAGGUGAGCGGAAUAUGUCAUGUAGCGGUGAAAUGCUUAGAUAUGACAUAGAACACCAAUUGCGAAGGCAGCUCACUACACAGUCAUUGACGCUGAGGCACGAAAGCGUGGGGAUCAAACAGG
rnacentral:rRNA from 1 species